GACGAACGCUGGCGGCGUGCCUAAUACAUGCAAGUUGAGCGAUGAAGAUUGGUGCUUGCACCAAUUUGAAGAGCAGCGAACGGGUGAGUAACGCGUGGGGAAUCUGCCUUUGAGCGGGGGACAACAUUUGGAAACGAAUGCUAAUACCGCAUAACAACUUUAAACAUAAGUUUUAAGUUUGAAAGAUGCAAUUGCAUCACUCAAAGAUGAUCCCGCGUUGUAUUAGCUAGUUGGUGAGGUAAAGGCUCACCAAGGCGAUGAUACAUAGCCGACCUGAGAGGGUGAUCGGCCACAUUGGGACUGAGACACGGCCAAAACUCCUACGGGAGGCAGCAGUAGGGAAUCUUCGGCAAUGGACGAAAGUCUGACCGAGCAACGCCGCGUGAGUGAAGAAGGUUUUCGGAUCGUAAAACUCUGUUGGUAGAGAAGAACGUUGGUGAGAGUGGAAAGCUCAUCAAGUGACGGUAACUACCCAGAAAGGGACGGCUAACUACGUG
rnacentral:rRNA from 1 species